rnacentral:lncRNA from 1 species
CACCCUUCUUCCCUUUUUCCUUAGGGUUAUCCUGGCCCUCCACUGUGGUAAUGUUAUCAUGCCCCAAGGUGUGUGUAUUACUUGCACAGCAGUGUGUCUUGAUAUUAAGUGUCUGAAAAGCAGUUCAAGAACAAUGCGGGGUUUACAAAAAAUGAAAAAUAGAAUUGCUUGGUCAUAAACACAUUUAGAAAAUCCUGACACUGUGCCUCCUUGAUCAAUUUUUAGGAGUUUCUAAGAACUUCCUUUUUCCCACAUAACUUGCCAACACUUCACAUUUUCACACUUUUGUUUUUUGUCCAAAUGCUAGCUGGGAGCCAGAGAGGUUGAGAUUUUUUUCAAAUUGUUUUGUCCAUGGGGUUCCUCUCCAACUAAUGGCCUAUUCACAGCAAGUUCUCACUUUCAUAUCGCAGUGUUUGUCUUACUAAAAAUCAUGUGUAGUUUCUUAUGUAUAUAUUUAUCUUUUAUGUUUAUUCCCAAUCUGUGUUGUUGUUGUUGUUUUUAUUCCCCCCACCCCCGCCCCCAGGUACGAGUUCUUUACUGUAGUGCAAUGUGUGGAUUUUUCCUUUACUUAAAGUUUUGGGUGUUUUGCUUUGGUUUUAUUAAUGUAAGGCCAAUCCUAAACAAGAUCGUGAAAACAGUAGUCUCCGAAGGCCAUAUUCGCCCAAAACGUUCCCCACAGGUUAUUCCGGGUUUCAUUCAUGCAGGCAUCGAACUGUGAAAUUCCAGUUAAAAUGCCCUAAGGGCUAAACUCUCAUGAUUGGAAAAAUCUGGUCUAAUAAAAGGUUAUCCGCAGCGACAAACCCGGAGAACUGGGACCUGGGGAGCCAAUCUCAGAAUUUGUUCCUUGAGCCAUUUAGUCCAUUCUUAUCCAAAUCUCACCGCGGGAGCUUUUUAACAGAGAUUUCUGGAGAUUCAGUCCUGGCUGCAGCCUCUCUAAGCAGGGAGACAGACUGCAGAUCCAGAAAACAAGCCAGCUCAGCUGAGCUCCUGACAAAUUGCUGCAGUGAAAAGGGAAGUCAGUUAUGCACAAUGCCAUUCUGGAACUGCAAAAAGCCUGAAG